rnacentral:lncRNA from 1 species
UUGGAGGUUUUUGAAGAUCAACGGAAUUAGAGAGAGGAGCUUCAUGCUUCGGGUCGGGGAAGAAAAGACAUAGAAUUUGGAUUUUUCUUCUUCGUAGAGUUUUGGGAAGACUGAGGCAAUCGCUGCUGAAGUCAGUGUUGUAAUGGUGAAUCGGGAUUUUUAAAUGAAGUGGGUUUGAAUACUCUUGACUGUUUUGUAAAAUCGAGUUACGUCUGUGAUUGAAGGAUUAAAGGGGUGUCUAUAGGAUUGAGUAUGCGGAGUGAAUGAAAU